rnacentral:rRNA from 1 species
CGCAGCCGCGGUAAUUCCAGCUCCAAUAGCGUAUAUUAAAGUUGCUGCAGUUAAAAAGCUCGUAGUUGAAUUUCGGGACUAAUAUGUCGGUCGUGCCUCGGUACGUACUGGCUUAUUGGUUUCUCCUUUCUGAAGAACCAUGAUGUCAUUUAUUUGGUGUCGUGGGGAAUCAGGACUGUUACUUUGAAAAAAUUAGAGUGUUUAAAGCAGGCUCACGCUUGAAUACAUUAGCAUGGAAUAAUGAAAUAGGACGUUUGAUUCUAUUUUGUUGGUUUCUAGGAUCGACGUAAUGAUUAAUAGGGAUAGUUGGGGGCAUUAGUAUUCAAUUGUCAGAGGUGAAAUUCUUGGAUUUAUUGAAGACUAACUACUGCGAAAGCAUUUGCCAAGGAUGUUUUCAUUAAUCAAGAACGAAAGUUAGGGGAUCGAAGACGAUCAGAUACCGUCGUAGUCUUAACCAUAAACUAUGCCGACUAGGGAUCGGAUGAUGUUAAUUUUUAAUGUACUCAUUC